UAGGGGACUACAGUGGCACACACACUAGGGAAAUACUAUGCAGCUGUGAAAAGAGUGAGGUUUAUUGUGUGUAUGUGUGAGAAAAACAACCACAAACACCAUGCCCUGGAUGGAGCAAAUGAGAAACUGGCUGGACGAGGUGGAAGAGGGGGCCUAGGGACCAGCCUAAGAAUUUGCACCUGGCCCUGCAGGCAAUGGGGAGCAUGGUAAGGCAGAGACGUGAUCAUCACAGGAACCCCCAGGCAUCUACAGAGCAGGCAGACUUUGGAGAAGAGGAAGAAAUGCCUCUGCCACCCUCCAGGAGAGGAUGAAACCUGCCCUCUCCCAGCUGUGCACAGGCUGCCUCUCUGCCAGCCAGAUUCCCAGGAAAGACAGAAAGAGAUGGGACUCCCUGCUCAGCACUGAAGCGGAGCCCAGGACAACUGAAGGGCUACCAUUCAGGUGAGGCCUCGAGCUUUAGUUUUCCAUGACUUGGAAACCAGAAAAUCACACUUCCAAUCCCCCCAAAGUCCGUGAGUUCUCCCUGGGUCUGUUCGACAAGGGUAAGCCUGCAUACACUGCAAAGUGCACCACAUGGCCGAAUGUACAUUGUUGAUUUUAAGUAUGUUAAGUGAGCUUAUGAUGAGGGUCCCCUCUGCUGUCUCACCCACUUCUCCACUCUUAAGAAACGGCUUAAGGUUCCUGCUAACAGUGGUAAGUGAAGAUAUUGACGACAACCACACUGCUGAUGACAGCAGGCUCCAGGCAGCCCCCUGGCACAGGGGAGGAAGAGCACUGUCCUACAGCUCCUGUGAAGUCUCUGCUCUUCUCUGCUUGGCACUGGCACUGGGCUCAGAGGGGAAGGAGGAGAGAUCUGUCUCCGAGGUACCAGGAAGUUGGUGCCAACAAACCAAACUUGGUGGGGGAGUGGAAACUGCGGCUGGGCUCAGUCCUUCUUCCAGAUUUCAGCAUUUAUUAGGGCCCUAACUGAAUGGGUAAGGCUGGCAUUUGCACAUCUGGGCGCAGGCUGGACCUGCGCCAGUACAUGAGGGGAAGCUCUGGUUCGUACCAGCCUUGAGCGUGCAACACGUGCAGCCAUAGGUGGGUGUGCUUUCAGGUUUCUCAGCACUGGGCACUCAGAGUCGACUACAAACAUCUGCAGAAGAGAGAUGCUGCCAAGGGGAGAAGGAACGUUGAAGGUGUGAGGUGGUGACAUGUGUUUUUUGAGCUGCAGAGAGGAGUGUGGCUGUGGGGAGAGCCCUGUCCUCCUUGGAAAGAAAUGUCAGCCUUCCCAAGUGAAUGCCUGGCUGGUCAGAGUUCCAGAACUUUGUGAGCCCACGGACUCAUGGGCAACAUAAUGGGGGUCCUCUAAUCCUUGCUUUUCAGAGGAAUCACUUGACUAAACUGCUGGCAUCUGUGGCUGCUGUUCUGAGCUGCAGCAUCAGCUGAUCCCCGAAACUCCACCACUGCUGCCAGCAAGGGGCCACAGCCCGGGAAUUCAACGGCCUAUCUAUUAUCCCUGCUCCCCUCCUGGGCUUAGCAGGUUAGAGUGAGCUGAUGGUCCCACCAUUGGACUCUUAUGAGCAAAGCAGCUUCACUGGUCCCACGCCUGGCUCCAGGGUCUGUGGCCAGCACCUAGGAACUGGGUUUCUGUCUCGGAGACACCGUUCAAUACUCAAUAACCUUACAAGGGACAUGUCACUGGCCUCUACCCAGGUCUCCUCAUCUUCUUCCCCCAAAAGUUGAAAAAAUAAUGAAGUUACCAUCUGCAUGGC
rnacentral:lncRNA from 1 species